GCCUAACACAUGCAAGUCGAACGGAUAUAUUGGCGAUAGCAAUAUUGCUAAUAUGUUAGUGGCGGACGGGUGAGUAACACAUGAGUAACCUGCCUUAUACAGGGGGAUAACACUUAGAAAUAGGUGCUAAUACCGCAUAAUAACUCUAGACGGCAUCGUAAAGAGAGGAAAAGGGGAAACCUGGUAAAAGAUGGGCUCAUGUUCGAUUAGCUAGUUGGUGGGGUAAAGGCCUACCAAGGCAACGAUCGAUAGCCGAACUGAGAGGUUGAACGGCCACAUUGGAACUGAGAGACGGUCCAGACUCCUACGGGAGGCAGCAGUGGGGGAUAUUGCGCAAUGGGGGGAAAAACCCCUGACGCAGCAACGCCGUGUGAAGGAAGAAGGCUUUAGGGUUGUAAACUUCUUUGAUUAGGGACGAAAGAAAUGACUGUACCUAAAGAACAAGCCACGGCUAACUACGUGCCAGCCGCCGC
rnacentral:rRNA from 1 species